CAGCAGCCGCGGGAAUACGUAGGGUGCGAGCGUUAAUCGGAAUUACUGGGCGUAAAGCGUGCGCAGGCGGUUGUGUAAGACAGGUGUGAAACCCCCGGGCUUAACCUGGGAACUGCGCUUGUGACUGCACAGCUAGAGUAUGGCAGAGAGGGGUGGAAUUCCACGUGUAGCAGUGAAAUGCGUAGAGAUGUAGAGGAACACCGAUGGCGAAGGCAGCCCCCUGGGCCAAUACUGACGCUCAUGCACGAAAGCGUGGGGAGCAAACAGGAUUAGAUACCCCAGUAGUCCCUGUCUCUUAUAC
rnacentral:rRNA from 1 species